rnacentral:lncRNA from 1 species
AAUCAGAAAGUGCUUUAGCUCGAUAUAAAAUUCUUUGAGUUUCAAAACAUAAAAGACUAGAUGGACUCAAAUAUGUGGCGAAAGCUCAAGGUGGUAUAAAACAUAAGAAAUCAUUGUAAAAAUGCAAAAAGAUCCAAGCCACUAAGGUACCAUUUUUCGAAUUUGAGUUGAUGUAGUAAGUGACAAAUUGGAAUUGGAGAGUAAUACUUAAUCAUCCUUGAAGAAUGUCUUGUAUUACUAGUGCUUAUCCA